CAGGAACGUGGAGCCCGGCAGUGGGACCAGCUCCAUCCCGCCGAGAUGGUGGACACGGAGAGCCCGAUUGGUCCCCUCUCCCCACUCGAGGCUGAUGAUCUGGAAAGUCCACUCUCUGAAGAAUUCCUACAAGAAAUGGGAACCAUUCAAGAGAUUUCUCAAUCCAUUGGUGAGGACAGUUCUGGAAGCUUUAGUUUUACAGAAUACCAGUAUUUAGGAAGUGGUCCAGGAUCAGAUGGCUCCGUUAUUACAGACACCCUCUCGCCAGCCUCGAGUCCCUCGUCCAUCUCUUACCCUGUGGUUCCUGGCAGCGCCGAGGAAUCGUCCAGCGUAGCACUGAACAUCGAGUGUAGAAUCUGUGGGGACAAAGCCUCGGGCUACCAUUACGGAGUUCACGCAUGUGAAGGCUGCAAGGGUUUCUUUCGGAGAACUAUUCGGCUAAAGCUGGCAUAUGACACAUGUGACCGUAGCUGCAAGAUUCAGAAAAAGAAUCGGAAUAAGUGCCAGUAUUGUCGUUUUCACAAGUGCCUUUCAGUUGGGAUGUCCCAUAAUGCAAUUCGUUUCGGACGAAUGCCAAGAUCUGAAAAAGCAAAAUUGAAAGCAGAAAUCCUUACAUGUGAACAUGACCUAGAAAAUUCCGAAACCGCAGAUCUCAAAUCUCUCGCCAAGAGGAUUUACGAGGCCUACUUGAAGAACUUCAACAUGAACAAGGUCAAGGCCCGGGUCAUCCUCGCGGGAAAGGCCAGCAACAAUCCGCCUUUCGUCAUACACGACAUGGAGACGUUAUGUAUGGCCGAGAAGACUCUCGUGGCCAAGCUGGUGGCCAACGGCGUCCAGAACAAGGAGGCAGAGGUCCGCAUCUUCCACUGCUGUCAGUGCACGUCUGUGGAGACGGUCACGGAGCUCACGGAAUUCGCCAAGGCCAUCCCGGGCUUCGCAAACUUGGACUUGAACGACCAAGUCACUUUGCUGAAAUAUGGAGUUUACGAGGCCAUAUUUGCAAUGCUGUCUUCUGUGAUGAAUAAAGACGGCAUGCUGGUAGCAUAUGGAAAUGGUUUUAUAACUCGCGAAUUCCUAAAAAGCCUAAGAAAACCAUUUUGUGAUAUCAUGGAGCCCAAGUUCGAUUUUGCAAUGAAGUUUAAUGCGCUGGAGCUGGACGACAGCGAUAUCUCCCUUUUUGUGGCUGCUAUAAUUUGCUGUGGAGAUCGGCCCGGCCUUCUAAAUGUGGGACACAUUGAAAAAAUGCAGGAGGGUAUCGUGCACGUGCUCAAACUUCACUUACAGAGCAACCAUCCCGACGACAUCUUUCUCUUCCCAAAACUCCUGCAAAAGAUGGCCGAUCUGCGGCAGCUGGUCACGGAGCAUGCGCAACUGGUGCAGGUGAUCAAGAAGACAGAGUCCGACGCCGCCCUGCACCCGCUGCUGCAGGAAAUUUACAGGGAUAUGUACUGAUUUCUUGGAAAUGCACACAAAAAAGAAACUUUUCAAGCGUUUUUAAAGGCGACAGCACUACAAGUGAGAGAUGGGAGCAACGCAACUUUGCACAAAUGUCACCAUUUGAACCUGGGACAAAGGAAAGUAUGAGCUCUAGGUUUCAGCAGACGUCAGCAUGAGGUCCAAUGGAAGCAGGUUCCAGAAGCUUCAAACCACAAGCGUGGAGCUGGCAGCCCGGGAUGCUGGAUGCAGGAAAUGGCAGGACCCCCUCUCACCACCUUGACCCGCUCUUCAAGCCACUGUUGAAACCUGGUUCUUCCUUUCCUCAACUUGUCAUCACAGAAAGUGCCAGACUCCUCAGAGACCACAGAUUACCAGGCAGCCUUUGUCUGGGAAGGGGGGGACCAUGGGGCUCCUCCAGGACACCCUGCUGCCGUCCUGCCAACGCCCCUCCUCUCUGCCUCCUGGGCAUUUCCAGUUGGGGGUCCCAUGCCCUGCCUUCUGCCCCUGCCACCCUGUGAGAAGCCUGAGGGCCGCACAUGCAGGCCGCCGCCGCCCUGACGUCCAGUAUUGUCAGAAACGGGGCGCCCCAGCCGUCAGAGGAGCAUUUUGACUACUGCCAGAGCGCCAGAGCCCUUCCUGCUGCCUGCCUGGCCUCCGGUUUCCCUGUGACCUUUCUACAGCUCUCCGGUGAGAGGCGUUUCAAGCAUCUUCCCAAAGAGGAUAUGUGCACAGGGGUAGACAGUGAAUGUGAAUUGAGGGGAAAGAAUUCCAGAAUUCCAGAACGUCUGUCCGUGAGAGCUGUCCCUGUUAAAGGGAGUCCUUCCUUCUACUUUAGGAGCACAGAACGCACCUUUCCACGGUACUGAUGCGUUUCCUACCCUGGGCCACAUGGAACUCUAAGGAAACAGACGACCUUGAGGACCGUGGACGUUCCAGCAAAGGGCAGCAGCCUAAGAUCUGAGCAGAAGCUCAAGGCCCACGUAAGAUCCUUUGUUUGACAUAUGGUGAUAAGUACUAUUAAUUGAGCAACUACUGUUUUCCCAAACCUACAGCAUGACAGCUACCUCAAUAGAGCUAUCAAGAGAUACUGUUAAAAUUAAGGUCCACGGAAACACUGGGCCUUUUGGUGCAGCUCUAGUCAGACCAUCUAUCGUUAGGGCUCGGAGGCUGGAUGCUCACCUUUGCUGUGUGCACACUGAGGAAUGGGAGGUUGUGUGGAUUUUUAAAGGAAUUUUAUUGUUUAAAGGGAGCCUUGGGAAUUCCCUGGUGGUCCAGCGGUUAGGACUCCACCCUUUCACUGCCGAGGGCCCGGGUGACCUGCUCACCCAGGGCCACGUCCUCUUGAGCUACGCCUGCUGGCCACGCAUGAGCCUGUUCAUGGGGAAAUCCUGGCAGAUGAGGGUGGAGAGAUGCCUGCGUGCAAAGCCUUGGUCACACCGCGGCUUCGCGAGGCCUCGCCACGCCCCAGCCCCACCUGUGCCCCUCUGUGCCUGACUCCUUUUCAAGCCGCUAUGACACUGGGCACGUUUGACACCUGGUGGCCAGACGCACGAUGGAGGGUUUUUUGUUUUUUGUUUUUGUCCUGACCCAAUGACCACACCUGUCUCUGGAAUGUCUUUAAAAGCCCUGUUUAAAUAUAAGCCCAUUGUUUCAACCAGGGAGUCCGGGCGCUCCCAGCUAAGACCAGCUUGAUCACCGGCCUGGCCUUUUAUGGGGGCUUCCAGGGACCGGGGGAAAACCAGCCACCUUCAAGUGCCUCUUCCACCCGUGUGGCCUUUCAAAGCGCAGAUCGCACGAGGAAGACUGUGCCAGGUGGGUGCUCACGGCUCCCCACCCGCGCUGUCCAUGCAAGCUCCUGCUGUCGCCUCCAAUCCUCAGCCCCGUCUUCAAGUGGAAACACCGGCUUGGACGAAGGGCCGCCCGGCGGUGCAGGGUUAGCCCCAGGGGUGGCCUGCUUCCCGCACUUCCCGCCCCUGCAUUUAAGACGGGCAAGGGUGCGGCGAGGCGCUCCCUGUGGGUUAGCCCGGUGCCCGGGCUGCACGUGUUCCCGGAGGGGUCACUUGUUCUUAGGUUCACAACAGUGGUGUCGAUUCAGGAGAUGCAAGGAAAUUGUACUGUCCAUAGGCGUCGCAAACGAAGACCGAUGCCACCAGCGGGGGGCUCAGCGAUUACUAAAAAGUGUCCAGGGAGGAUUUUCGCCACACUCACUGUUCCCGCGGCGUUGGUGGUGCGGGCACGGGACGGUUCCAAAGACAAGACUGUAUUUAUUCUUCUCGUUUUGUAAGCGGCCCAGCUUCUCUUAAGUCUUGGUCCAAGCUGAUUUACGGGACUCCCCCGGGAUUAUGGAUCCGUACCAACCAAGUCUUUGCGUGGAGCUGACAGCUAAGGGGGCUCUUGCCUUCCUGACAGCAGUGACUUCCAGGCGGCACAGCAGGCAGGCCCCGCAGGCAGCUCGGCUGGGAGGAGCGGACGAAGGGCGGGACAGGGAAUGCUGACUGCGUCCCCACCCCCGCUAACUGGGCGUCUUCCUCCUUCUCGUGCAAAAGGACUUUUCCGGUGGCGUGUUCUCCUCUAGGGACCUUCUGCCCAGAAAGAUCCAAGGUUAGGCUCCAAAGGCUGAGGUCUAAAAGUUUUUGCUGAGAUUUGUAUCUAUUUUUAGGUGCCAUUUUAAUACAAUUCAGGAAAAUGGUCGUUGACCCUCAGUCCCUGAAACACACGGGAGUGAGAACAAAGGCAGUAAAUUUGGUCUGACUCAGAAUAUAGGAGGCCCGUUCUACUUCUGUGGAAACUACAGGACAAACUAAAAUGUGAGAGUGGAAGUUUUGCAAGGAAAAGAAUAAGACAACGCGUCUUCACGCUUUCAUUUAAAGAAUGAUGUAACGCUUUGCAUGAUGCUGUUUGUGGAAGGCGGCAGGUCCUUAAACUUAGCAGAGUGGGCUGCUGUGGGUACGGCUGCUUAUUAGGGCAGAGAGUGAGAAGCCGCCGCCCGGGGCUCAUUUCCAGACGCCCUUUCCCGGCUUGAGGCACCCGGACUCCUCAGAUCUAGAGGGGGCCUCUCGACAGACCAUCUGCUUCUCAGAAUUUCAGUUUCAGACGAGAGAAGCGUAACCGUUUACUUCCACCCCCCUGAGAAAGGGGAGCCAUGUACCGUGGUCCGGGGGACACAUGCAGUCACAUCCUUCUGGAAUCCUUUGCCACAUAGAACAAGACCACGCUGCAUCCACGUCAAGGUCACAUCUUGACUCCAGCAACUGGUAAACAUCAAGGACUUCAGGCCCCGCGGCUGUUAAAUGCAUUAUGUGAAGAAAAUCGAGUAUCAAUUUUUUUCCUCACAAAUAGCAAAUUAAGACCUGGGUCAGGUAUUUUUCAUUUAAAAUGUGUUUGCUAGUUUGGGUGGAAUGUGAAAAGCUUCCGUGUUUUUCCCCAGAGAAGGUAAUCCACCAGCCUCCUCCUCUCUUGCCCUUCUCCCCCCUGCUGUCACCCUCAGCAUCUAAAAUUCAUUAAGUGAUGAACAUUACGGCGUCAUGCCAGCCGGAGCACAGACAAGCUCCCCACAAUUGAGCCCUGGCUCCCCUGACAAGGGGUGGGGGCCGCUGAGUCUCCAGGCCCUGAACACAAGUGAGUGGCUCAUCUUUUCAAGGUCAAAUCAUUCACUUUGGGCAAAUGUCUUU